UCCGUCACCCUGGUUCUGUAGUCUCGGUUCUCCGACUCCCUCUUUUUCUCGCUUGUGGACUCCGAUAUAUUGCCCUUCUUCCCUUAGAAGAACUGCUGAACCGACUCUGAGAAAUUUGAACUCCCGAAAACUGAAGACCGCCGGGUCGCAGAAGGGGAGAAGAUGGGGCAGGGGCAGAAACCCUCUUCUUUCCUGAAGUAAAGAUUCGCAAAACUUCAGACAUUUUCAUCCAGGAAGUAGGAGGCCGCAUUAAAAGAAGUAUUUGUGGAAGAUUUCGCAGCCUCAAGUGCUGAGUGUGAUAUUAUUUGUAGGCACAUAGAUGCUGUAUUAGGCUAUCGGAAUUUAUAUGGAAGAUGUGUAGAAGAUGAUAUUUUCUGAAAUAACUCGUUAAAUGUUUUGAGUCCUAAAUAAACCUGCUCAGUUUUUCGUUGGGUACACACUGUAUUCUCUAUUCAUUAAGUAU
rnacentral:lncRNA from 1 species